CUGUGCUCCAACUAUUGGCAAGAACAAUGUUUGGGGCCUUGGCGGAACUGGGCCAUAUGAACUCACAUCCAUACACCACUGGGCUAAAGUUCUUCAUAAGAGGAAUGGAUGAGAAGGAGACUUGAAAUGGAAAUUAUUUAGAUUCCACACUUCAAGGUCUCUGCAACCAGUGCAGCCUUUCAGAGUGUAGGGGACACCAACUGCAUAAAGAAACCUUGGAUCACACUUGCCCAUACUAAAAAAGCACCUUGAUAUUUGGGUCAAAGAGCACAGCUGUGAAUUGACACACUGGUUGGGUGUCAGUACAGAAAACUCUUCCCAGAGGAUCAUGGAGGGAAAGGGGAGUUUAUCGUGGAACAUUGGCAAAUUU
rnacentral:lncRNA from 1 species